AAGACUAUACUUUCAGGGAUCAUUUCUAUAGUAUGUUACAAAAUGAGAAUUCCAGGAUAUAAUUCCAUAACCACUCCUGGC
rnacentral:snoRNA from 1 species